UAAAAAUUUGUUAGCACACCACUGACUUUCUCUGUGGGGUGAGUGGCUCAGCUACUUUUAAACAAGAGACAACCACUACUGUCAAACAAACCUGGUAUCUGAAACCAAAAGUUGAGCAUUCUGCCCCGUAAGCAAGGGAGGACUGUAUUGCUGAACACCUGAGUCUCUCUGAAGAAGCAAACUGCUGACUUUAUGUGGGGUUUUGAGAACUAUGAUCUUCAGGGGUUGGAGGAUUUUUGGAGCCAAGGAAGCUGUGUGUGUUCAGAGAGUGCUACAGGCAUUCAUCAUAUUCACAGACACCGAAGGAGACUUUCUAACAUUCACAAGUGUGUGCUGCCCCAAGGUCAGCGAAGGUCAUCCACAAAGCCAAUGUUGAAGGAAAAGUGAGGAUCAUGCUACCUAUGAGAUGAAGCCACCAAAUGGCCCCAAAUGUUAGCCUGGGCACACAUGAGGUCAUUUAUCUUCACUUCUACCAGUAAGAAUGUACAGUAAGUUUCCUCGCUGUGUUUCUAAGGGCUGUACUGAUUGUCUCAUAGAACCCCUGGGGGAGGAAAGAAAUCACAGUAGAGAAGCCACUUAUAAAACAUCAAGUGGCAUACUUGUUAUUUAUAAAGCUGCUUUUUCAUGCUCUGGCAUGUCUUUAAAAUUUUCAUGCCUGUAAUCCCAGCACUUUGGGAGGCUGAGGCGGGUGGAUCACAAGGUCAGGAGUUCAAGACUAGCCUGGUCAGCAUGGUGAAACCUUGUCUCUACUGAAAAAACAAAAAAUUAGCCAGGUGUAGUGGUGCGUGCCUUAAUCCCAGCUACUCAGGAGGCCUGAGACAGCAAUGAGGAACAUUGCUUGAACCCAAGAGGCAGGGGUUGCAGUGGGCUGAGAUUGUGUCAUGCACUCCAGCCUGGGUGACAGAGCAGAACUCUGUCUCAAAAAAAAAAAGUAAGAAAUUUCCUUCAGGGGCUAGGACUAGGUCCUGCCGGGGGUUGACUGUGGCCGGAGGAUGCAGCGUCUCACCAGUGAGAAUACUGUGGAGCUGCUGCUGUGAAUAAACAGGGGACAAGUUUUGCCCA
rnacentral:lncRNA from 13 species